rnacentral:rRNA from 1 species
UACGGAGGGGGCAAGCGUUGUUCGGAGUUACUGGGCGUAAAGCGUGCGCAGGCGGCCCGUUAAGACAGGUGUGAAAUCCCUGGGCUCAACCUAGGAAUUGCGCUUGUGACUGGCGGGCUCGAGUACGGUAGAGGGGGGUGGAAUUCCUGGUGUAGCAGUGAAAUGCGUAGAGAUCAGGAGGAACACCGAUGGCGAAGGCAGCCCCCUGGACAAAGACUGACGCUCAGGCACGAAAGCGUGGGGAGCAAACAGG